CUUCUGAAUGUGUUCAUGUGACUGUGUGUGUCCAGACCUAUCAGCUGCUCUUUAAUGUUAGGAUGCAGUGAAUGAUGUGUGCAAUUAUUGGUGUCUCUGCAGUCAGAUUAGAAAUACCCUGACCCAAGAUGUGAGUGUGUGAGAGAGAGAAAGAGAAGGAGAGAGUGCAGACAUGCUAACCUUACUAACUAUACAUUUUUACGUUUUACAAAUACAGAUAUGUACAAGAGUGGAGAAUAGUUUGUGCGUGUGUGUGUGAGCAUGUGUGUUUUAAAGAGAGAGAAGGAUUAUGUGUUAUGGAGUAUGCAGACAUGCUAACCUUACUAACUAUUAGGAAUAUGUUUUAGCUAACUCUAUUAUUUUGUCUCCUUAUGUAACCAGGCCACAGACACACAGAGCAGUGUCUCCAGUGCCCAGCUGUGUGUCUAUGAAGAGUGACUGGUCCAUGCCAUACGAUCCUCCCAAUUUCAGCAGUGGACUACCACAGUAUGAUCCAAAUGUUCAGAGGAAUGUUCUGACCCAGGAUCAGUCCAGGUGUGGAGUGUGUGAGCAGCUACUGAGGGACCCAGUCAUCACCACCUGUGAACACAGUUUCUGCAGGCAGUGCAUCAGCAGCUACUGGAGCCAGUCUGGUCCAUCAGGACACUACAGCUGUCCCCAGUGCAGAAAGAGAUCCAGAGCACAACCCUUUCUAAACCCUGACAUAACCAUGGCACAACCUCUGUUAUACCCACAUACAACCAUGACACAACCUCCUGUAUAUCCCCCUACAGCCAUGGCACAAUCUUCCCUCUACCAACACAGAGAAAUGGCACAGCUUCAUCU